GGCUCAGGAUGAACGCUAGCGGCAGGCUUAAUACAUGCAAGUCGUGGGGCAGCAUGAGUAGCAAUACUUGAUGGCGACCGGCAAACGGGUGAGGAACACGUACACAACCUUCCUCAAGCGGGGAAUAGCCCAGAGAAAUUUGGAUUAAUACCCCAUAAUAUAUUUGAUAAGGCAUCUUAUUAAUAUUAAAGCUUCGGCACUUGAUGAUGGGUGUGCGGCUGAUUAGAUAGUUGGCGGGGUAACGGCCCACCAAGUCUACGAUCAGUAGCUGAUGUGAGAGCAUGAUCAGCCACACGGGCACUGAGACACGGGCCCGACUCCUACGGGAGGCAGCUGUAAGGAAUAUUGGACAAUGGACGAAAGUCUGAUCCAGCCAUGCCGCGUGAAGGAUUAAGGUCCUCUGGAUUGUAAACUUCUUUUAUAUGGGACGAAAAAAGGGCAUUCUUGUUCACUUGACGGUACCAUAUGAAUAAGCACCGGCUAACUCCGUG
rnacentral:rRNA from 1 species